GUUGGUGUAGCUCAGUGGUAGAGCGCAUGCUUUGUAUGUAUGAUGUCCUGGGUUCAAUCCCAGCUUAUCCC
rnacentral:tRNA from 1 species